UGUGAGGGCCAUCUGACUGUGACACCUGUCACCCUGCAGGUGCCUAAGGCUAACGAAGCUGACCUGGCUGCCCGGACAGGGUUCCCUUCCUCCCUCUCAAA
rnacentral:snRNA from 1 species